ensembl:snRNA
GUGUUGUAUGAAAGAGAGAACGUUAGCACUCCCCUUGACAAGGGUGGCAGAAGCCCUCGGGCCUGACAACAUGUAUUUGGUUAAGGCAUUGCCACAUUGCUACUUAGUGGCAUCUAACCAUUGUUUUUC